rnacentral:rRNA from 1 species
UACGUAGGGUGCAAGCGUUGUCCGGAAUUAUUGGGCGUAAAGAGCUCGUAGGCGGCUUGUCGCGUCGGCUGUGAAAACCUGGGGCUCAACCCUGGGCCUGCAGUGGGUACGGGCAGACUAGAGUGCGGUAGGGGAGAUCGGAAUUCCUGGUGUAGCGGUGAAAUGCGCAGAUAUCAGGAGGAACACCGGUGGCGAAGGCGGAUCUCUGGGCCGUAACUGACGCUGAGGAGCGAAAGCAUGGGGAGCGAACAGG